AUUCUGUAAUGAGGGCAUUUCUGUAAUAAUUCUUUGUAUCAUUCCCAUGCCUCAUACAAGGGCUCAUCAUCCAUUUUUUGGAAGGAAGUGAUCUCGUUCCUCAACUU
rfam:Gossypium arboreum cultivar AKA8401 contig_20391_3, whole genome shotgun sequence.